GGGAAACCGAGGGAACUGAAACAAUCUAAGUACCUCGAGGAAAGGAAAGCAACAGCGAUCCCUGAGUAGCGGCGAGCGAAACGGGAAUAGCCCAAACCAGCAUGGUGUUAAAGCUUGACGGCGUUGCCAUGUUGGGGUAGCGGGAGACGAGAGAAAGGGCGUCAAAUCUUUCACGGAGUUACAAAAUUUUCAUCUAGCAGAAGCGAUCUGGAAAGUCGCGCCAUAGAGGGUAAUAGACCCGUAUGCGACAGGUGUAAAAUCUCCGCUCGUCCACCCAAGUAGCGCCGGAUCCGGGAAAGCCGGCGUGAAUCUGCGAGGACCACCUCGUAAGGCUAAGUACUACCAGACGACCGAUAGCGAACUAGUACCGUGAGGGAAAGGUGAAAAGUACCCCGGGAGGGGAGUGAAAUAGUACCUGAAACCGUUUGCUUACAAUCAGUCAGAGC
rnacentral:rRNA from 1 species